rnacentral:lncRNA from 1 species
GUAUGCUGUUCCAAAUGCCUGAAUUUAGAGUGCCUGGACAUCAGCAUCAGAUCAAUUUGGAAUUUCAUGCAAAUAAAACACACCAACUUAAUGGGAUGUGAAAGAGUUGGCUUCAAAAUAAAUCCUUGUUGAAAGGCACUGGAAUUACAUUUGAAAUGGAAGUGAAACAAAGUUGAAUUUUAUGGCACUGGCUUACAGGCUCUGUCUUGCACUGUUUACAGAUUGACCCAAAUAAAGUGAAGAAGACCAGAAUCAGGACCCAUCCUGGCAUAUACCUUUCACCUGAUAACAUCUGUUGGUUCCUAUGUAUUUAAUAUAUGUAUUUUCAUGUUUAUUUCUUUAUUUUUAUUAACUUUUCCAAUAAGAUUUCUCCCCCAAAAUACUAAUGUCAAUUAACAUUUAAAUAUAGAACUGUAAGUUUAAAUAUAGAACUGUGUUGGGCUAGACACAAUAUGAUUUCCUAAUUAUUACCAACCUGUUUCAUUUAAUUUGUAGAAUCCCUUGCAGUUUUUAAAUAACUCUCUACAAUCUCAUUUCUUCCUGUUAUCAAUCCAGUACUGAUAAAGUAGUAUCCCUAAACUAUAGUUGAAAACAUUGUAAUUCAGAAAAGUGAAGAGACUCAUCCAAUGCAUAUAUUUGAAAGCAACAUAGCUGAUUUCAGGGUUUUCUAGAUCUUAUUUCCUGGCUGGCUUGGUGUAGGUGGUAGUAAAUAACAUAUGUGGUUUUGGUACUGCAGAUUUUAAUCUAUGGUGAUCCACAUUCUGUUCCAGAGACACCAUGCAUUACUAUGGUCUCCAGGCUGUUGGCGAUCAUAACACUAGGGGGCACCAUUUUGACUUCCUUCUUACAUUAGCCUUUAGGGCCUUCAUAUUUUCGUAUUGAAGGUUGAUGAUGAAAUCAUGGGGAAUUUUAUUUCAUCUUGUUCAGACAAGAUUUUUGCAAGAGGCUUUACUUAUGAAAGGGAGAUGAUGCUUUCUUUCCACUAGUGAAGAUGUGUAGAAAAUUAAUUCCUACAGAGUUCUAAUUCCUAUGACUAAUAUCAAGAAAUGAGUAUUGUAGAGUAGGACACAUUCUUAGGGACUGUCAUGCUCAUUUAACUCUUAAACAGCUGGAUUCCUUUCUCUUUUUCUCCUCACCCUUACAGGGAUAUGGGCAGAGGGCCCCUUGUGUGACUUUAGAAGGAGGUUUUGAGGGUAAGAGAAGGAUUUCUCUGUCAUCAAAGAUAGCUACUCUGGUAUUGUGGCUUAGCCGCAGCAACUAUGCAGAACCAAACCAUUAGCACCCAGCUCUCAAAGAGAUGUUGCAUUUUGGGAUGUUUGUAUAUGCAGAGGUUACAAACUACUUGAUGUAUGAAUUGAUUUUUGCUGCAUAACAAUUAAUCAAUUAUUUUCAUACUCAUGGGUCUGCAGGUUGACUAUUUUCAUACUCACGGUUCUGCAGGUUUUCUGAUUAAGAGGAGAAGCUCUAUGAUAAGCCAGAGAAGAAAAGCAAGAAUCUAAGAACAAGGUGCUACUUGGUAUCUGCUCUCUGGGUCUAUGUAAUUUGGAGUUCCUAGCAGAGUGCGUAAUGCAUUUAGAGAGAGGUAUUUGUCUUUUCAAAAUAGGAUCCUGGACCUAAUGGGCACUGCUUGAAUUCAAUACCAGAAUAUGAUUCUAAAUAUCAGUAAAGUUUAAGAUCAUAUACAUGCAAUACUUCACAAGGUUUCUGGGUAGGGAUUUUAUGAAGAGAUGACUUAAUUAUUUUUUGAGUAUUCCUGACUCAAUACUCAAUAAAGAUAGUGCUAUGCUGUUUACACGCACGUGCAUAACAAACUAUAAAGGACACAUAGUAAGUAAUAAACUCAGUGUCACAUUCCUCUCACAGCCUGCUGAUGACUAUAAUUAAUAACUGUUUUUUUACCUUGAAAUUUGAUGAGAGCAGAUUUUAAUUGUUCUCACCACACACACAUGCCCACAUGCAUGCACACACACAAAUAACUGUGAGUGAUGCUGAAUGUGUUAACUAAUUGGAUUGUGGUCAUCACUAUACAAUGUAUACUUAUAUCAAAUCAUCAUGUUUUAUACCUCGAACAUACACAUUUUUUGUCAAUUAUAUCUCAUUAAAGCUGGAAAAAUGUAUUUCUGAUAGGUCGAGGAAAAAAAAGCAAUUCUUAAGAAAAAAAAAACAGAGGCAAGUAGAUGAUCACCUCCUGAGGUUAUCAAUGACUGUACAUUGAUGUCUAGUUUUGAUGUUUAUAAUUCUACCAAGUGAAUAUGUUCUGCAUUCUUAGACUUUCACAUCGAGGUUUCUCUAGGGAUUGGAAGGAGCUCCAUAAAGAUUAACUGUGUAACGACAUUCAGCAUCCCCAGAAGCAGCAUCCUACUGCUUAAUAACCUCAUUUCCAAUAGUGUGUUGUCUCCAAGUGCAUGAGCACAUGCACAAAUACAUAACACACAUGAUGGAACCAUAUAAUCUCCAUGUUGCAAGGGACUCUAAAGAGACUUGUAGUUCAGGAAGACUUGCCCAGUAAUAAGUAUUCUUCACAUCAUCUCUAACUCUUCAUAAUAUUGGAUUCUACUAGAAAAAUACACAGGAAGAAAAAUCUAACUAUAUCUUGUGGUUGCCAAUUUCAUUUAUGCUUAUCCCAAUUGUUAAGAACUUUCUGUUUUCAUCGUAUGGAGCAGGAUUUCAUCUCCCCACAGACACCUCUCUGGGGUCCUAAUUAAACCUUCUUGGAUUAAAAUCAGCUAUAACAAUCUCAGUUUUUGUAGUUAUCUCCACACUGCAUUGUGGAUUCUGGUGACAAAACAUUUGUUCAGGGUCUGCAUGCUUUUAACUUACCUGUCUAUCCUUUUAGUUCUCUCCUUAACUAAACUGGAAACACCAAUAGGCCUCCAGGGUAGAAUAUGAAGCCCUAAGCAAUUAACAGAUGUGGAGGGUUAUAGGAACACUGAGAAUUGCUAUGAUUGGUGUGUGGGGAGUCAUAGCCAGGGCUUGUAGCCCAGAGACAGAUGAUUUUGAUUUCCCACCUCUCUUUGAUGCCCUUGUUGACAGAUGAUGUGAAACUAGCUCCCCUGAGUGUAGUUUGUCUGAAUUUACUGGAUUUGCAGGUGUUUGGCUUCAUCCCACUAAUGUAUAAUGAUACAAAUGGUCUCUAAGGCUUACUCAGUGCAGAAAGAUCUCAUGUAUCAUAGAAAACCAGAAUAUUAGAGUGAGAAGUAACUUUAAAGAUGAUCUAGUCUUACCCCGAUUUUAUUUUUUAUUUUAUUUUUUUUCUUUCUUUUAGACUUCAAAUAUCGAGUGUCCUGUUAAUUAUAUUUCCUAGUGGUUCAAUGAUACUUCGUCUUGAUGUCCUCUUGAGUAUUUUCCCCUUUAUCACCCAUCUCUCUCCAUUCUCCCUUUCCCAUGAUUGGGUACUCACUCUAUGUCUUUAAAGAUGUAUGAUUCUUUGAAAAAAUUAUGUCAUUAUUUUAUGCUUACAUGUGUUUUUAAUUUGCAUAAGUACAGGUACUUUAUAUCUCAUUAUUUGUAGUUCUUUUCCCAUCAACAUUAUGUUUUGUGUGUUUGUAUCCUGUGUUGCUUCUGACAGCUGCUUAGUAAAACACUGAACACACUCCCCGUUUUCUGCCUACCCAUCCAUUCAUAGAUGCAUACCUAGAUUGUCAUAAACUCCCCACUUCCAUACAUAAUGCCCCGAUGAACAUUGUUAGCUAUGCAUCCUUAUAGAUCUAUGAACAGUUGUUUCUGGGAUACAUAUUAAAGAGGGGGUUUCUAGGAUUUACUAAUGUUUGAUUUCAUUAAAUACUUCAAAGUGCUUUCUGGAAUGACUGCAAGUCUAUACUUCUAACUGCAGGUGCAUUACCUUUUUCCCAUAUUCAUGCCAAAUGUAGCAUUACUCUCUUCCUAAUUUUUGCCAACAUAAUGGGUAUAAAGUGUAUAAAGUGUUAUAGUUUAAUGUUAGUCUGAGAUUUUUUAUUACUUGUAUUUUAGGCAUCUUAUAUGCUUGGUGGUGUUUUAGGUUUCAUUGUCUGUGAAUUGCUUAUUUGUUUCCUUUACCCAUUUUUUCAACUUAGCUUACGAGGUUUUAAAGUACAUUUGCAAGAAUUCCUUGAAUAUUUUUGACAUUAACACUAUGGUUUUUUUUAAACAUAAUAUAUUUAUCACACUCAGGAAAUUUGACAUUGGGGUUAUGUUGUUACAUGCAUUUCAUAUUCACGUUUCUUAUAACAAUAAGAACAAUAACAAAAUAAUAAAAAUAGUGUCCUUAAUAUUGUUUUUGUUAAACCCACUAUCCAAUUAAAGAUCAUACAUUGCAGUUAUUCUCAUAUCUCUUUCCUUUCCUUUAAAGAUUGUCCCCAAGCACUUAAAAAAAUUUUAUGGGUACAUAGAAGAUGUGUAUAUUUAUGGGGUACAUUAGUUCUUCUUUAAAUGUUUGGUAAAAUUCAGUAGCGAAGCUAUCAGGUCGUGGGCUUUUCUGUGCUGGAAGACUCUUUAUUACUGCAUCUAUCUCAUUACUUGUUAUUAGUCUGUUCGGGUUUUGGAUUUCUCUGCUUAAUUUCAGUGUUCUCUCUUACAAGUUCUAUUCUAGCAGUGAUUGUUCAUAAUUUUGGUUUUUCUUUCUGGAAGAGGCAAGUGUUGGAUGCCUCCUUUUCUAUGGUAGGUUUUUUAUAUUUAGCCUCUAUCAAAUUAAGAAUGUCUUUUUCUAUUCUUAGUUUUCUGAAAAAGUUUAUUUUAAAUUAUGUAUUGGUAUUGAACUUAAUAAAAAAUUUGUUUUUAUGUAUAUAUAUAUAUAUAUAUAAACUCAUGCAAUCUUUGCUAGUUAGCCCAUUAAUGUGAAGGAUUACAUCACAAAUAUUCUGAUAAUAAAUAAAAGGCAUGUUUUAGGGAUCCACCAUUAUUUUAUCAUAAUAUAUUAUUUUAAAAUAAAUUUUUUGAUAAGAUUUUAAAAAAUUUAGCUAGUUAACGUUUUGUUUAUUUAUUUAUCUCACAAUGACUUCUAGAUAAAAAUAUGGAUUCCAUUGUAGUGAAGUGAUUUGCUUGAAGACAACUUAUCAGCUUUAGACCCCAGAGUUCCUUAUUCUUUAUCUGGUCCCUUUGCUUAGUUCUUCUCUAAGAUUGAAUUCUAACAAAUUAUAAUCUUGCUUAUUGUGCAUUUUAAUGGAAACUUGUGUAUUAUUUUUAAGAUGGAAGCUUUGUCUUAUCACAACUGGUUGAAAGUAAAAAUUUUAAUAAGCAGAUAAUGUUUUUUGUCUAUGUGAUACAAAACAAUGGUUUUUAACUUCUUAAUUUUAAAUUGGAUUGAUUUUUUGUGUGUGACCUAAAAAUGAUGUGAUGAAUCAAUUAUCCAUGGCCUUCAUACUUACGAGUCACUCCUCUCAUAAUUUCUUUCUGCUUGAAAGAGCUUCUCUCUCAAUUUAUGAGAAAAGAUAUUUCUGCAAUGAGGCAUAUCAAGGACAUAUGAGAAUUUACCUACCCUUGUCCUCCAAGGCUUC